GUAGGGAAUAUUGGACAAUGGGGGCAACCCUGAUCCAGCAAUGCCGCGUGAGUGAUGAAGGCCUUAGGGUUGUAAAGCUCUUUUACCCGAGAUGAUAAUGACAGUAUCGGGAGAAUAAGCUCCGGCUAACUCCGUGCCAGCAGCCGCGGUAAUACGGAGGGAGCUAGCGUUGUUCGGAAUUACUGGGCGUAAAGCGCACGUAGGCGGCGAUUUAAGUCAGAGGUGAAAGCCCGGGGCUCAACCCCGGAACUGCCUUUGAGACUGGAUUGCUUGAAUCCUGGAGAGGUGAGUGGAAUUCCGAGUGUAGAGGUGAAAUUCGUAGAUAUUCGGAAGAACACCAGUGGCGAAGGCGGCUCACUGGACAGGUAUUGACGCUGAGGUGCGAAAGCGUGGGGAGCAAACAGGAUUAGAAACCCUAGUAGUCC
rnacentral:rRNA from 1 species